UGGGCAUUUUUUGUGUAAUAUGUCGAUAUUCAAGAUCCGUGUCUCUCGUGCUAGAUUAUAUCCUUUAUUACUGUCUGGCUACAAAAAAUAAAUAGGAUAUAGUUUUUGUGAUAGUUAAGAAACUGGAUUGUUCUAGUAAAUCGGUUAUUGACUUAAUAAUUCUUAUACUUCAGUCUAAUGUAUGAAUUUGUAGUACACAUGCAUCUAUCUUGUAACUACAUUUGUUGUACCUUCUUUAAGGAGAAUAAGCAUGCUGUUUGAGUUCCCAUUUAAUUAUUUUUUCCUCAAUUAAACCGUACUGGUCAAUCAAUAUAAUGUACGCGAUAUAAGGGUCACCUCAGGUCAGGCUACCACGCAUCUUCAUUAGAUUUAAACAUUGUUGGUGUGUUUUUUGUGAAGUUUUGAUUUUUCCCAUGGUCGUGCAUGCAGAUGUCGUCCAGUCUAGAUCCAGUGAUUGGUCAAGAAUUGACGGACAUUACGUCUCGUUGUAUAAGUUGUAAGUGGACGGUGAUGACCUGCCGCUGACCUGAGUGUCUGUUCUGUUUAUAGGAUUAUUAAGUUCAAUAUUCUAUUUAAUCUUAUCCAAAG
rnacentral:lncRNA from 1 species